rnacentral:rRNA from 1 species
UACGGGGGGAGCAAGCGUUGUUCGGAUUUACUGGGCGUAAAGGGCGCGUAGGCGGCCACCGCAAGUCGGUUGUGAAAUCUCUGGGCUUAACCCAGAAAGGUCAACCGAUACUGCGGGGCUAGAGUGCAGAAGGGGCAACUGGAAUUCUCGGUGUAGCGGUGAAAUGCGUAGAUAUCGAGAGGAACACCGAUGGCGAAGGCAGGUCUCUGGGCCACUACUGACGCUGAGAAGCGAAAGCAUGGGGGAGCGAACAGG